GUUAUAGUUUAUCUGAUAGUCAUCCUGAUACUACAUGGAUAACCGUGGUAAUUCUAUGGCUAAUACAUGCGCAAAUACUAUACCUUAAGGGUAUAGUAGUGUUUAUUAGAUACAGAACCAACACGCUCCAUUUUUGGGGUGUAAAAGGAGGUGAUUCAUAGUAACCGAACGGAUCGCAUUAUGAUCAUAUUAUUAUGAUUGGCGAUAGAUCAUUCAAGUUUCUGACCUAUCAGCUUUCGACGGUAGUGUAUUGGAMUACCGUGGCAGUGACGGGURACGGGGAAUUAGGGUUCGAUUCCGGAGAGGGAGCCUGAGAAACGGCUACCACAUCUAAGGAAGGCAGCAGGCGCGCAAAUUACCCAAUCCUGACUCAGGGAGGUAGUGACAAGAAAUAACAACACUGGAAAUUCAAUUUCUAGUGAUUGGAAUGAUGGGAAUCUAAACCCCUUUCAGAGUAACAAUUGGAGGGCAAGUCUGGUGCCAGCAGCCGCGGUAAUUCCAGCUCCAAUAGCGUAUAUUAAAGUUGUUGCAGUUAAAAAGCUCGUAGUUGGAUAUCUGCUGGAAGCAAUCAGUCCGCCCUAUUUAGGGUGUGCACUUGAUGAAUUCUGGCAUCUAUUAUUCCUAAUAUUAUACUGAUGACUUU
rnacentral:rRNA from 1 species